UCGAUCUUUUUUUUUUCUUCGACGUUCACUAUGAAGUCUCUUUCUUCGUUCUCUUUUUUUCUGCAACACCUAAAGCUUACAGAGAUAGUGUGUUCCCUUUUUCGAUAUCUCUGAUUCAGCAAUCAUCAAGCAGCCUCAACGCCAGGUCCCUCCCUCGCCCUUCUGUAGACGCUGCUCUGUUUUGAGACACGAUGACGAUGUGAAGGUAGACAGAAAGUCGCUGGAGUUCGAACCCUGAUCGUUUAAUAGGGGGGAAGUUAAAGCAGAGACCUUUACAUGACUACAUUGUGAUUUGACUCCUUCCAUGAGAGGGUUUUUGAUGGACUGGUUAGUGGAGGUUGCUGAGGAGUACAAACUUGUCUCCGACACGCUCUAUCUCACUGUCUCUUAUGCUGAGUCUCUCCGUUACAAACUCCUUGGUGGACUUGCUGUCUGCAGGGCUUGCUAUGGUGUCUUGAGAUUCGUCAUGGAGAGUGGUGCUAAGGGACGUGAGGUGACCACAAGCUAAAAUCCAUAGUAAAUCUCUUACAGAGUUCAUUUCAAAUGCUUACUCCCAGGUGACUGUGAGUGGAAAGCUUCGUGCAGCACGUGCCAAGUCCAUGAAAUUCAAGGACGGUUACAUGGUUUCCUCUGGUCAACCAACCAAGGAUUACAUCGACUAUGCAGUGAGACAUGUUCUGCUUAGGCAGGAGUCAUUGUUGCAGAUAGAGUUCCUCUGUUGCUAUCUCUCAGAGUUGAGUCUGUUGGAUUAUAGCUGUGUAAAGUUUUUACCCUCUCUUUUGGCUGCUUCUGCCGUCUUUCUUGCUCGAUUCAUCAUCCGUCCAAAAC